GUUCCCGUAGCUCAGCAGGAUAGAGCAGCCGCCUCCUAAGCGGCAGGUCGCAGGUUCGACUCCUGCCGGGAACGCCA
rnacentral:tRNA from 2 species